GGUGAGUAACACGGUGGGUGAUCUGCCUGCACUUCGGGAUAAGCUUGGGAAACUGGGUCUAAUACCGGAUAGGAGCCAUCUUUAGUGUGGUGGUUGGAAAGUUUUUUCGGUGUAGGAUGAGCUCGCGGCCUAUCAGCUUGUUGGUGGGGUAAUGGCCUACCAAGGCGGCGACGGGUAGCCGGCCUGAGAGGGUGUACGGCCACAUUGGGACUGAGAUACGGCCCAG
rnacentral:rRNA from 1 species